GACGAACGCUGGCGGCGUGCUUAACACAUGCCAGUCGAACGAUGAAGAAGAGAAACGCGAACUUCGGUUCAAAUUUCACUUCGGAUUAGUGGCAGACGGGUGAGUAACGCGUGAGCAACCUACCUCUUACAAAGGGAUAGCCUCGGGAAACCGUGAUUAAUACCAUAUGACACAUUCAUAAGGCAUCUUAAGAAUGUUAAAGCUACGGCGGUAAGAGAUGGGCUCGCGUCCCAUUAGCUAGUUGGUGAGGUAACGGCCCACCAAGGCGACGAUGGGUAACCGGCCUGAGAGGGUGAACGGUCACAUUGGAACUGAGACACGGUCCAAACUCCUACGGGAGGCAGCAGUGGGGAAUAUUGCACAAUGGAGGGAACUCUGAUGCAGCGACGCCACGUGAGCGAUGAAGGAAUUCGUUUCGUAAAGCUCUGUUCUAUGGGAAGAAAAGGACUGUACCAUAGGAGAAAGCCCCGGCUAAAUACGUG
rnacentral:rRNA from 1 species